rnacentral:rRNA from 1 species
AUACGUAGGGAGCGAGCGUUGUCCGGAAUUACUGGGCGUAAAGGGUGCGUAGGCGGCAGGGCAAGUCAGAUGUGAAAUCCCCGGGCUUAACUCGGGAGUGGCAUUUGAAACUGCUUUGCUUGAGUGCAGGAGAGGAAAGCGGAAUUCCUAGUGUAGCGGUGAAAUGCGUAGAUAUUAGGAGGAACACCAGUGGCGAAGGCGGCUUUCUGGACUGUAACUGACGCUGAGGCACGAAAGCGUGGGGAGCAAACAGGAUUAGAUACCCUGGUAGUCCACGCUGUAAACGAUGGAUACUAGGUGUGGGGUAGAUACAACCUCCGUGCCGGAGCAAACGCAAUAAGUAUCCCGCCUGGGGAGUACGGUCGCAAGGCUGAA